rnacentral:rRNA from 1 species
AACGAACGCUGGCGGCAGGCUUAACACAUGCAAGUCGAACGCCCCGCAAGGGGAGUGGCAGCCGGGUGAGUAACGCGUGGGAACAUACCCUUUUCUACGGAAUAGCUCUGGGAAACUGGAAUUAAUACCGUAUACGCCCUACGGGGGAAAGAUUUAUCGGGGAAGGAUUGGCCCGCGUUGGAUUAGCUAGUUGGUGGGGUAAAGGCCUACCAAGGCGACGAUCCAUAGCUGGUCUGAGAGGAUGAUCAGCCACAUUGGGACUGAGACACGGCCCAAACUCCUACGGGAGGCAGCAGUGGGGAAUAUUGGACAAUGGGCGCAAGCCUGAUCCAGCCAUGCCGCGUGAGUGAUGAAGGCCUUAGGGUUGUAAAGCUCUUUCACCGAUGAAGAUAAUGACGGUAGUCGGAGAAGAAACCCCGGCUAACUUCGU